rnacentral:rRNA from 1 species
AGAGUUGAUCAUGGCUCAGGAUGAACGCUGGCGGCGUGCUUAACACAUGCAAGUCGAACGAAGCUAAGGGAGCUUGCUCCCAAAGCUUAGUGGCGGACGGGUGAGUAACGCGUGGGUAACCUGCCCUAUAGAGGGGGGAUAACGUUCGGAAACGAACGCUAAUACCGCAUAAACCAUAAGGAGCUGCAUGGCUCUGAUGGCAAAGAUUUAUCGCUAUAGGAUGGACCUGCGUUGGAUUAGCUAGUGGUGAGAUAACAGCUCACCAAGGCGACGAUCCAUAGCCGGCCUGAGAGGGUGAACGGCCACAUUGGGACUGAGACACGGCCCAAACUCCUACGGGAGGCAGCAGUGGGGAAUAUUGCACAAUGGGCGCAAGCCUGAUGCCAGCGACGCCGCGUGAAGGAAGAAGGUCUUCGGAUUGUAAACUUCUAUCAGCAGGGAAGAAUAAAUGACGGUACCUGACUAAGAACGCCCCGGCUAACUACGUGCCAGCAGCGGC